CAGUCGCCGCGGGAAUACGAAGGGUGCAAGCGUUAAUCGGAAUUACUGGGCGUAAAGCGUGCGUAGGCGGUUUGUUAAGUCUGCUGUGAAAUCCCCGGGCUCAACCUGGGAAUGGCAGUGGAUACUGGCUCGCUAGAGUGUGUCAGAGGAUGGUGGAAUUCCCGGUGUAGCGGUGAAAUGCGUAGAGAUCGGGAGGAACAUCAGUGGCGAAGGCGGCCAUCUGGGACAACACUGACGCUGAGGCACGAAAGCGUGGGGAGCAAACAGGAUUAGAGACCCGUGUAGUCCCUGUCUCUUAUAC
rnacentral:rRNA from 1 species